GCUAAUUGUCAAAUUAGCUUGCCGUUGGAGUUGCUCUUAGUGAAUGACGGAUAAUACAGGUUAUUAGCACACCUCAUCAACGCUUCUUCAUUUUUCAGGCACCGAGUUCUUGAGUCUAACCCUAGAGUCACUGCUCACAACUGAAAAACCCCCCAAUUCUCUAUUUUCCUCUCUCAUCUGCUCACUUUCUCCAUCAAUCUGCCUAUGCAACCGUCACAAUCGCUCAUAUCGCCGGAUUCCUUGUACACCGACGCCGGCUCAAAUUCCUCUAUAUAUUGUCCUUCCAGCAAAAUGAUGUUGAUUGUGAACAAGAUGUGAUGCAAUUCAGGAAAAAGAUAAAUUCACAUAAGCCCCUUAAACUUCUUGAACUUGUAACUUUGCCUUCUAGUGUAUUCUCUUGAUAAUUAUUAUCAAGGUACUUAUCUGGUUUUCAUUCUAGCAGACCUGUUGCUGCUGCCUCAGUCGCUAUUAUUAACGUUGAAAUUAUUGAUGCUGAUGCUGUUGUUGUUGCUGCUGCUGUUAAAUGUUCCUAUUAAUGCUAAUAUCAACUUUGUACAAUUGAAAUACUUUCUUUUGGGAAAAAAUUGUAAUAUUUAUUACAAUAAUUAUUAUUGAAAAUAUUCAACUUUUUUUUUUCAA